rnacentral:rRNA from 1 species
UACAGAGGGGCAAGCGUUGUUCGGAAUUACUGGGCGUAAAGGGCGCGUAGGCGGCCACCGCAAGUCGACUGUGAAAUCUCCGGGCUUAACCCGGAAAGGUCAGCCGAUACUGCGGGGCUAGAGUGCAGAAGGGGCAACUGGAAUUCUCGGUGUAGCGGUGAAAUGCGUAGAUAUCGAGAGGAACACCUGCGGCGAAGGCGGGUUGCUGGGCUGACACUGACGCUGAGGCGCGAAAGCUAGGGGAGCGAACGGG